UGCAUAGAUUUCUUAGUCAGUCCCUCCAGAAAAAUGUGAUUAUGCCAUCGCAUAAUUCAAUGCAUAAUCAGCCAUAUCCAUGCAUAUUCAUGCAUUGGCCGUAUUUUUUCAAAAACGCCGCACUUUCGCUGCAUAAAUUGCCAAUUUCCGCACAAAAUAAUGCAGGGCUUGCAUAAUUUCAUAAUCCCCACAUUUCCGUUGCAAAAAAGUCACAUAUAUCUCAGUAGAAAGUUG